rnacentral:rRNA from 1 species
CCAUGCCGAACUCAGGUGGUCCCACCUGACCCCAUGCCGAACUCAGAAGUGAAACGCCGUAGCGCCGAUGGUAGUGUGGGGUCUCCCCAUGCGAGAGUAGGGAACUGCCAGGC